rnacentral:ncRNA from 1 species
AAAGACUUGGUCCCAACCUUACUGUUGGUUGUUGCUAGAAUUAUACAUGCAAGUAUCCGCACCCCAGUGUACAUGCCCUAGGUACCUUUAAACAAGUCGAUAGGAGCGGGCAUCAGGCUCACACCCAAUUGUAGCCCAAGACGCCUAGCAUUUGCCACGCCCCCACGGGUAUUCAGCAGUAGUAAACAUUAAGCAAUGAGUGUAAACUUGACUUAGUCAUAGCAAAUUCAGGGGUGGUCAAUCCUGUGCCAGCCACCGCGGUCAGACAGGAAACCCAAAUCAACAUUAUAACGGCGUAAAGUGUGGUCGCAUGUUAUCCAAGUAACUAAGAUUAAAAAGCACCUGAGCUGUCAUAAGCCCAAGAUGCCCAUAAGGCCUCUUAUUAAAGAAAAUCUUAGAACAACGAUCAAUUGAAGCCACGAAAGCCAGGGCCCAAACUGGGAUUAGAUACCCCACUAUGCCUGGCCCUAAAUCUUGAUGCUUCCUAUAACCUUAGCAUCCGCCCGAGAACUACGAGCCCAAACGCUUAAAACUCUAAGGACCUGGCGGUGUCCCAAACCCACCUAGAGGAGCCUGUUCUGUAAUCGAUGAUCCACGAUAUUACCUGACCAUUCCUUGCAAGACCAGCCUACAUACCGCCGUCGCCAGCCCACCCUUCCUGAAGGUUAAAACAGUGGACGCAAUAGCCCCACCACGCUAAUACGACAGGUCAAGGUAUAGCCUAUGGAAUGGAAGCAAUGGGCUACAUUUUCUAGAUUAGAACAUUACGGCAAAGGGGCGUGAAACCGCCCCUAGAAGGCGGAUUUAGCAGUAAAGUAAGACCAUUGAGCUUUCUUUAAGCCGGCUCUGGGACACGUACACACCGCCCGUCACCCUCCUCGCAGGCGACCAAAACCCCCCCCAUAAACUAAUAAGCUAUCCAGCUGAAGAGGAGGCAAGUCGUAACAAGGUAAGUGUACCGGAAGGUGCACUUAGGACAC